UACGGAGGGUGCAAACGUUGCUCGGAAUCAUUGGGCGUAAAGCGCACGUAGGCGGCCUUGCAAGUUGGAUGUGAAAGCCCUGGGCUCAACCCAGGAAGUGCAUCCAAAACUGCCUGGCUUGAGUUCCGGAGGGGCCCAGAGAAUUCCCGGUGUAGAGGUGAAAUUCGUAGAUAUCGGGAGGAAUACCAGUGGCGAAGGCG
rnacentral:rRNA from 1 species